rnacentral:lncRNA from 1 species
CCCCAAUGUUGGGGGUCCCCAUUGGGAUCUCAACAUCCCCACCCCAAUGUUGGGGUCCCCACGAGAAUCCCAACGUCCCCACCCCAAUGUUGGGGUCCCCUCUGGGAUCUCAAUGUCCCCAUCCCCACACCAGGCUCUGUUCCCCAAUAUUGGGGUCCCCGCGACAAUCCCAACGUCCGCACCCCAAUGUUGGGGUCCCCACGAGAAUCCCAAUGUCCCCACCCCAAUGUCGGGGUCCCCUCUGGGAUCUCAAUGUCCCCAUCCCAACUACGGGGUAUGCACCCCAAUUUUGGGGUCCCCACAAGAAUCCCAAUGUCCCCACCCCAAUGUUGGGGUCCCCACGAGAAUCCCAAGGUCCCCACCCCAAUGUUGGGGUCCCCUCUGGGAUCCCAAUGUCCCCAUCCCAACUAUGGGGAAUGCACCCCAAUGUUGGGGUCCCCACAAGAAUCCCAACAUCCCCACCCCAAUGUUGGGGUCCCCACGAGAAUCCCAACGUCCCCACCCCAAUGUUGGGGGUCCCCAUUGGGAUCUCAACAUCCCCACCCCAAUGUUGGGGUCCCCACGAGAAUCCCAACGUCCCCACCCCAAUGUUGGGGNAUGUUGGGGUCCCCACGAGAAUCCUAACAUCCCCACCCCAAUAUUGGGGUCCCCACGAAAAUCCCAACAUCCCCACCCCAAUGUUGGGGUCCCCAUUGGGAUCUCAACAUCCCCACCCCAAUGUUGGGGUCCCCAUUGGGAUCUCCACGUCCCCACCCCAACGGGGAACUCAACGCCCCCGUCCCCAUAUCACCGUCCCCAUCCGAACACCGGACUCCCCACCACCCCACAGACCCCGGGGGGGGGAAGGACGGACGGACCCCAUCCUCAUUUUGGGAUAUGGGGGGGUGAGGGUUGGGGGGCUGCCCCCCCCCCCCCCCCCCCCUCCGCGCCCCCCAGGAAAUCCCAGAGGAGGCGGUUGACGGCGUCGGGGCGCUCCUCGGGCAGCCAGUGCCCCGCGUCGGGGACGAGGUGCAGGCGGGCGCCGGGGGCCAUGCGCUGCCGCAGGUAUGGGGCCAGCCGGGGGUCCAGGAACGGGUCGCGGGCGCCCCAUAGGAUCAGCACCGGGCACGGAGGGCGCUCGCGAGGAACCGGGGAAUCGCUGCGGGGAAAAAG